CACCUGCUCAAAGCCUCUUCUUGCAGACAUGUUGGCUAUUUAGGGUCUGGUUCAAGUUCCAGUUGGAUCCGUCAUUAAAAACCAGACUUCUGCAUUAGGAGCUUCUCAGUUGCACUGGACUCCCAGGGCUGACCGUGUAGACGGCCUCGGGGAAAGGCAGGUGGCUUCUUGGAUACAUGACCCUCUGACUUGAAUGGGCCUGCGGAAAAGGACUGUGUCGCAUGGUUUUGGCUCCUUUUCCCUGAGCCUUCUUCUCUAUCCAUCAUGCUGUGAAAAGUAAGCAACGGUAAAUCAUACAUCCGUCCAUCGCCUACCCUUACCAUAUUCACAGCGGGAAUAUUCUGGCGUCCUGCCCCCUUUCUGGAAGUUUAGCGCCCAUGGUCAUUAGCUAGGCUUUCCACUUCAGUCUGUGAUCUGAGGGUGUUAGCAACUCACAUGUACAGUUACUAACUUACUUACUGGGUUUUAAAACUAACUUCCCAGGAAGUAGAGAAAACACUUUUCAAGUUUAGUUAGGCUGCUUUAGUGACUUUUUCCUAAAGAUACUAACAAAAUUCGCUCAUUUUAAGUAUGAACAGCAAUGUCAAAUUCGAGGCUGUUGUGCUUAUUAGAAGUUCCACCCCGAUGCAACUCCGCUUUAGAGACAGAAGAGAGAGGCACACCUAGGACUUCUAAGAGAAGAGCUACUUCUUCCAGAUUAAGCGGUGGUAAGAGAGAAACCCGAGGGCAGUUCUCGGUGUGUUACUGCAAUGCUACUCAUAAUUCUAAUGCCCUAACGAGAGCUGCUGUCAAGAGUGGACUUGCAAAAAUUCUAUUAAGGUUUAAAGGGCAAACAUGCAGCUCAGUUUUCAGUGAGUCUCUUUUGUUGCCUUUUGUUUCUCCUCUUCCAUAAAAUUUCCUCACUGCAGCCCAUUUAAAGCAUCUAGGAAGAAGCAGGCCAGUGGAAUUGCUUUAGCAUUAGCUUAGUCUUUUUUGCUUUAUUUAUCAAUGUUCUCAUUUCCCCCCACCCAUGGCAAAGCUCCUUUUUAAUUAUUUAUUGUCCCUUGGGACUUGUGCUGGAUAUGGCACCAUGCCAAGCUACCAAGCUCAGGGGUAGCGUGGUGUUGGGAGGAUUCAAGAGACAGAGACUGCCAUGCUUCCCAGCUUGCGAGUUUCUGAAAACCCUCAUUGAAGCCCUCUUGGUGCACCAGGUAUCCCUGUGUCAGUACUGACUGUGAGUCUAAGACGGCACUGCUUCAGAUAGUCCUUAAAAACUAUUAAGGACCCCAACUGCUUUUAUAUGAGCUGCAUCUAUUAGUAGACGUUGAAUUAGAGAGCAAAACUGAGAUUUUAAAAUAUGCAUAUUAAUUUAUUUAGAAAUAGCAAUGAUGGAGUUCCCACUGUGGCACGGUGAGUUAAGAACCCAACUGCAGCAGCUUGAAUCAUUGUAGAGUCACAUGUUUGCUCCCUGGGCCGGCACAGUGGGUUAAAGAAGCCAGCGGUACUGAAGCUGUGGCUCAGAGUCAGUCACUGACCUGGGAACUGCCUUUUUGCAAAUCUCUUUAAUGUCUGGCUUAACUGAACACAGGUGGAGUCUCAUGUCUGCUUCUACGUUGUCUUGUGACACUCCGUUUUGAAGCAUAGGAGGAAAACCCAGCCUCACACAGGUAUGUGGUUAAAGAGGGAGGGGGGAAAUGUUUUAAUAGCCUAUCAGGUCAUUGUUUCUGAAUGGCUUUAAGCUUCUUAAAGAUCGAUGACCAUGUGGCAUUUGAAACUACAUCAAGCAACUUUUCAUACUCUAUCACCCAAAACCCAUCAGUCCGUCUUGCACUGUGAAUCUUUUACCUGUGAACGGUGUCAUAGCCCCCAGUGGCUGUUUGAAUUACAUCACUACUCCUGUAGCCUGUGGACAUCUUCCAAGACAUACUUCAUUCUAUGAUACAUACACAAAAGCGCAUCAGAGCAAAGUGUCUCCAGCAGGCUUAGGAAAGUCCAACUCCCAGUGAUGACUGUCACAAGUUUUCCCAGAUUAUUAGGCCUUUUGCUUAAAACCUAACAUUUUUUCAUGGACAAUAAACACUGUUUGCUGUUUUCUUUGAAGCAAGAGACUCACCUUGUGCAUUUCGAGGAUUUUUCUGCCGAAGAACCGUGGUUGGCCAGCUGUUCUUUCAGGUAGGAACGGUGUGGCGGCCUCGAGGAAAGGAGCCGUCAGCCACAGCUCAGCUGCACAGGUGCUUUUCCUGGAGAUGAACGUUGUACUUCCGGAUGCAGGUGCCUUAAGGGUACCUCUCCUUUUGUGUCAUAUCACUUAAGGUUCAGGUUUAAUUACAGCAGUAACUUUUACUGCUUCUCUACGGACACUAUUAAGUGAAACUUUUUUUUUUUUAUAGAUUGGAGUUUAUUUCAUAUGAUUGAGCCAAUUCAACAGGGUCACAGGGCCUGACUGAUAAUAACUCAUUAGGAUGUCUUUCAUUGGUUUAUGUACGAUGAACUUUGAGAGGUUAUAAAUAUCAACCUCUGUGCACAUACAGGUUAUGUUUUUAUAUCUGCUAAGUUUCAAAUCCAUAGCUUCAUUUUGGAUCCCUAAAAUAAUGAGAUGUAACCAUUAACUUGAACCCAUAAAGAUGUGAGCUGUAUUGUAUUUAAUUCUCUGGGUGACUAUUAUCCUACCUAUGGUUUUAUUAAGAAAUCAUCUGUUUUACUGCCAUGUAGUUUUUUUUUUUUUUAAGUCAGGGUCUAAUGUAUUUAUCAGAUACAGUGUCCCAACGUUAUGUUCCAAACUGGAAAGGUCAAUGUCAUUUAACAGUUUUCUC
rnacentral:lncRNA from 1 species